ACUCCUACGGGAGGCAGCAGUGGGGAAUAUUGGACAAUGGGCGAAAGCCUGAUCCAGCCAUGCCGCGUGUGUGAAGAAGGUCUUCGGAUUGUAAAGCACUUUAAGUUGGGAGGAAGGGCAGUUACCUAAUACGUAAUUGUUUGACGUUACCGACAGAAUAAGCACCGGCUAACUCUGUGCCAGCAGCCGCGGUAAUACAGAGGGUGCAAGCGUUAAUCGGAAUUACUGGGCGUAAAGCGCGCGUAGGUGGUUUGUUAAGUUGGAUGUGAAAUCCCCGGGCUCAACCUGGGAACUGCAUUCAAAACUGACUGACUAGAGUAUGGUAGAGGUGGUGGAAUUUCCUGUGUAGCGGUGAAAUGCGUAGAUAUAGGAAGGAACACCAGUGGCGAAGGCGACCACCUGGACUAAUACUGACACUGAGGUGCGAAAGCGUGGGAGCAAACAGGAUUAGAUACCCUGGUAGCGACUGA
rnacentral:rRNA from 1 species